GUGACGAAAAGGUCGGAGUGCUGAUAAUAUGAAGAAAAGCGGCGUGCUGA
rnacentral:snoRNA from 1 species